GCUGGGCGAGAUGGCACACGCCUGUAAUCCCAGCAGCUCCGGAACCUGAGGCAGGAGGAUCUCUAGUUCAAAGCCAGCCUCAUCAAUUAUCAAGGUCCUAAGCAACUCAGUGAGACCCUGUCUCUA
rnacentral:sRNA from 1 species